GAUGAACGCUAGCGGCAGGCCUAAUACAUGCAAGUCGAACGGGAUCUGAGGGUAGCUUGCUACCCGAUUUGAGAGUGGCGCACGGGUGCGUAACGCGUGAGCAACCUACCCAUAUCAGGGGGAUAGCCCGAAGAAAUUCGGAUUAACACCGCAUAAUAAUACGCUAACACAUGUUGAUGUAUUUAAAUAUUUAUAGGAUAUGGAUGGGCUCGCGUGACAUUAGCUAGUUGGUAAGGUAACGGCUUACCAAGGCGACGAUGUCUAGGGGCCCUGAGAGGAGAAUCCCCCACCCUGGUACUGAGACACGGACCAGACUCCUACGGGAGGCAGCAGUAAGGAAUAUUGGUCAAUGGGCGCAAGCCUGAACCAGCCAUGCCGCGUGCAGGAUGACUGCCCUAUGGGUUGUAAACUGCUUUUGUUAGGGAAUAAACCUUCUUACGUGUAAGGAGCUGAAUGUACCUAAAGAAUAAGGAUCGGCUAACUCCGUGCCAGCAGCCGCCGUAA
rnacentral:rRNA from 1 species